rnacentral:RNase_P_RNA from 1 species
CAGGUCGACUAGGCGGUCGCGUCAUGGGAAACCAUGCCGAGGAACGUCCGGGCUCCAUAGGGCAGGACGGUGGGUAACGCCCACCCGGGGAAACCCGCGAGACAGUGCCACAGAAAGCAGACCGCCCCGCCGCUUCUCUUGAGAAACGGUGACGCCCUUCGGGGUGCACGGGUAAGGGUGAAAGGGUGGGGUAAGAGCCCACCGGGCGCCUGGUGACAGGCGCCGCACGGUAAACCUCGUCCGGAGCAAGGCCAUACAGGGGAUGAUGACGCGGCUCGCCGAGUCCCCGGGUAGGCCGCUAGAUUCGCGCGGCAACGUGCGAGCGAGAGAGAUGGCCGCCCCCGACCCAGGUCGGGACAGAACCCGGCGUAUCGGUCGGCCUGCUCG